GGGCUAAAUGACCUAAAUUAUCUGCUCCCAUAUCUUAUGGUUUAACAGCAUGUUAGCAGUUACAGUACUGGGGAGGUGGCAGAUGUUAAUAUUUAUGAGAAUAAUCUAGGUUGUUGUGGAGAGAUCCAGAAUCCCAAAGUCUACACUUUAUCUCCAAGACAACACAUCGGUUCACAAGAACCUCUGCUCCUAAUUAUAUUUGGAGUAUCGUACAUUUGUCUGUUUAACAUUUUCCACGAAAACAGGGCUCCUUUAAGAUCCUCGCACCUCAAAAAAAAGCGCGACCGUUUUGUUUCACCCCAAAAGACUCCAUUUGCUUUCCUGAAGGCGCCGAGAACGGUUUUUCUCCGCCCACACCUACUUCAAACGAGUUAGUAAACCUACGAAUGCAGGAUUGCAGAGCGAGUGCUGCAGACUGUGUGUCUGGAGGAGCAUUAAACCAACUAGUCUGCAUUUACUCAAGCUGUCAAGAAAAUGCCAAGACAGACACAGAAUACAAACUGCAGACAUCCAACCUCCGUCGGUCUGUCGAAGGAAACACGAUUGUAAAUUGUCACUUGUGUGUCCAUUGAACAUGUCACAAAGUAACAUUAAUGAAUCAAUGCGUUAACCUAUCAAACAUAAGGAUAAGUUGUUUCUGUUGAAAAUAGGUCAAUUGUCUCGUUUGGAGUGCUCAUACGAAGUUUCUGGACUCAACUGUAGAAGAACGUUACCGAACUCGGGUUAAAACCUUGUAACAUGAUUCGACCUUAUCACAACAAUGUGAUCGCAGGAAAACGUAAAGCGCACCAGUUGAGCCGCUGGUUUACUGAGUGGCCACAGGCUGCUGAAAUUUCUGUCACAUUCAAGGCAGUGAAAUAUUUAUGCGGUUGUCAAAAGGGCCACUGUGAGUACGUUUUACUUACAGACCCGGUUUCCAUAAGCAGCUUGCCAGUUGCCUGCUGACUUCACGGCUGAGGAUUUAAAUGAUUACCUGUAUUUGUCGAAUUUUGCGAAUUUACUCCAGUCCGCCGGGUUACUUUUAUAGGAUUCCAUCAGCGUUUGCACUUCUUCCACGUUGAUUUUAUCGCUAGAGAAAAUCUCAUGAAGUUGUUUAAUCAGAUCGUCUAACGUCUCCGGUACCUGGAACUGUGUCUGAUUCAUCUUCACGCUUACUUUUUUUUAAAGAAACCAAAUAAACAACGGAUCAGACCAAAGAAACAAAA